rnacentral:lncRNA from 1 species
UUUAGAAGAACCAAACUAUUUUCACUGUUUCAUACCAUAGGUGUACAUAGCCAUCAAAUAAAAACAAAGAACUUUGCGAAACGUGAAACCCUACUAAUUAAUUGAAAAUAUAGAAGCAGAACUACACGAGGCAAGUCGUGGAGCUUGCAAAUACAAACAAGACAAGGAAUUAUUUUCCGAAAUUAAAAUUUAAUUUUUUGAGAAUUUGUCUUCUACUACGGCUCUUAUCAGACACCGCAACAUUUAAGUAAGCCGCGACGCGUGUGACUUUUUGCCGGGCCAAAAUAGGCAGGAACCACCAUAAAUCAAGUGACACGCCAACUCUUUUUCAACUUUCAUGUCCGAAAGCAAAGAUAUCUCAUUCUCUGAUCACAACCAGUUGGCUAGUUUUCAGUGGCCGAACUUGAUGGUUUUGAUUGCCACUUUUCUAAAUUUCAAGUCUAAUUUACAUGUUUAUCUCCUAUAUAUAAAGAUAAAUGUCAACUGAAAUUACCUUAAGAUUUGUAUUGUGGUUAAUUUUUUUUUUCCGAAGAUAAGAUGAAUUCUGUAUUGGGUGAAAGCUAUAGGUUGGAAAAUGUCAAGCAUAGAUGGCCCAAAAUAAUUGGUGUUUGUAUUAAUUAGUCAAAAGAAAUAUCCGACAAGCAAGGUGAACGAAAACCUUAAACUAAUCACGCGCGAAAGCAAGAAUUAAAGUCGCUAUUCACAUUACUGCUAAUAUUUGUUAAAUUGUUAUCGUUGUCGUCAC